ACCCACACAUAGAGAGAGAGAGAGAGAGAGAGAGAGAGAGAGAGAGAGAGAGAGAGAGAGAGAGAGAGAGAGAGAGAGAGAGAGAUUGGUUCGUGUACGAAGGCUUUUCUUUACGCGACUCAGAGACCAAUUAUUUUUCCCCUGUUUUCUUUCUUCUUGGUAAUUGAUUUCAGCGGAGAAAAGGGGGGAAUGGCUGUUUUAGUUGUAUUCAAUGGUACGUCUUUUUCUUUUGCACACCAAUAAAAGAGUGUCAAGAACUGGAGAAUUAUGCUAUGUAUAAGGUUGGGGAGAACACAGAGGCGGUUAACAACUGCCUGAAGAUUUCAGAGGACGACAGGGAAGAUGCUAGAAGGACCCUUGAGAAGUUGCAUCAUCAGGGUGAGCAAAUCACUAGGACCCACAUGAUGAAUGCCGAUAUUGAAAAGGAUUUGAGUCAGGAAGAACUCAAAUUGGACAUCUACAAGCUCAAGAAAUACAAAGGAGGAACUCAAAUUGGACAUCUACAAGUUCUACAAGCAUGCAAAGACAAUAAUGACAAGGAACAUAUUUUUUGGCCUUCGUGGUAUAAUUUUGCUAAAGUGGUCGAAUUUGACAUUCUGAUGGCUUCUUCAAUAAGGAGGAACUUAACUUGGACAUCUACCAGUUCUACAACCAUGCAAAGGUAUUGUACCUUACUUUUUUCCAGUCUUUUCUCAUUUUCUCUUUCUAUUUAUCUUUAUUUGUGAUAUUUAUUUGGUUCAAACUUUAUCUUGAAGGAACUCCAAUUAGGUAUUUUUUUUUUUUAAUACAACUAAUACUCUACAAGGCAAUUGUCUUUUUAUUUGUUUUUCUCCAUCACAGAUAAUAAUGACAAGGAACAUAUUUUAUGGCCUUUGUUCUAUCAUAUAAUGUAUAAUUUUUCUAGAGUAGUUACGUCCAACAUUCUGAUGGCUUCUUCAAUAAGGUAUAAUUUAUUUAUCAAGGUUAUUUUUGAAAUAAUGCUCUUUUUUGGUAUAAUGUAUAGUCUGCUUCAAUAAUUUUUCAUUUAAUAGGAAAUAUUUAUAUUUAUGUUAUUAAUCUAAAAAUUCUAAUUUUUUCUUCAUUUUUCUCAACUUCUCCCAUUUUCUGCUGCCAACGUCAUCAUUUUCUUCAUCUUCUCCUUCCUCUACUUCUACUCUUUUCUCUCCUCCUCCUCGUCCUCCUCUUCCUCAUCCUCUGACUCCUACUCCAACUUUGACUCUGACUCCAACACCUUCUUUUACGCCUUCUCAUCAUCUUCUUCUCAUCCUUCCUCUACUCCUCCACCUCUGACUCAUUUCCUACUCCAAUCCCUAAUCUCAUGUCUUUGCAUUUCCAUCCUCCUCUUCAUUUCGCUUUUGUUUUGGGUGGGUGUGGGUGUAGGAGCAUGUGCAAGGGUGUGUGUUCAUGUGCGUGUGAGUGGGUGGGUGAGUGUGCAUUUUUAUUCAAGUGUGAGUAUGGGUUGUGUGCUUGUGUGUGGUAUUCGAUUGAAAUUGUAUGUUGUAGGAACUCAGCUUGGACAUAGAUACAAGUUCUACAAGCAUGCAAAGGUAUUGUGCCUAUAUUUUUACUAGCCUUUUCUCAUUUUCUCAUUCUAUUUUUCUUUAUUUGUGGUAUUUAUUCAGUUGAAACUUUAUCUGGGAGGAACUCCAAUUAGGUGCUAUUUUUUAUACAAGUAAUACACUACAAGGCAUUUUUUUUUUUUCUCCAUUAUAGACAAUAAUGACAAGGAACAUAUUUUUUAGCCUUUGUUUCAUCAUAUAAGAAGGUGCAUGAAUUUUGCAAGAGUGGCUAAGUCCAACAUUCUGAUGGCUUCUUCAAUAAGGUAUAAUUUAUGUAUCAAUGUUAUUUUUGAAAUUGUGUUUUUGUUUUUAGUAUAACAUAGUCUGCUUCAAUAAUUUUUCAUUUACUAGGAAAUAUUUAUAUUUAUGUUCAUUUUUUCUAAAAAUUCUAAUUUUUUUCUUCAUUUUUCUCAUCUUCUCCCAUUCUCCACUGCCACUGUCGUCAUCGUCAUCUUCUCCUUAUACUCCUUCCUUUGCGCUUCUUCUCUUUCCGCUCCUACUCCUACUCCUCCAACUCCUACUCCUACUCCUACGCCUUCUCUUCAUCUUCUUCUCAUCCUUCCUUUACUUCUGCUCCAACUCUUCUCCUAAUCCUACUCCUACUCGUACUCCUGCUCCAAGUCCAUACUCUCUGCUAUUAAUUUUCCUUUGGUUUUGGGUGGGUGUUCAUAUCCGUGUGAGUGGGUGUGUAAGUGUGCAUGCUAAUUAACGUGUGCACAUGGGUAUUGUGCUUGUGUAUGGUAUUCGAUUGAAAUUAUAUGUAGGAGGAACUCUGCUUGGAUAUCUACCAGUUUUACAACCAUACAAAGGUAUUGUGCCUUACUUUCUACUAGUCUUUUCUGAUUUUCAUAUUCUAUUUAUCAUUAUUUGUGAUAUUUAUUCCGUUUAAACUUUAUCCAAUUAAGUGUUUUUCUUAAUACAAGUAAUACUCUACAAGGCAAUUUUUUCUUCUUCUUCUUCUUUUCUCUAGUAUAAAAAAUAAUGACAAGGAACAUAUUUUUUGGCCUUUGUUCCAUCAUAUAAGAUGGUGCUUGAAUUUUGCGAGAGUAGUUGCGUUUAACAUUUUGAUGGCUUCUUCAAUAAGGUAUAAUAUAUUUAUCAAUGUUAUUUUUGAAUUAUGUUCUUUUUUGGUGUGACGUAGUUUGCUUCAAUAAUUUUUCAUUUACUCCUCCUCCGACUCCUUUCCUACUCCAACUCUGUAAUCUCAUUUCUUCGCAUUCUCAUCCUCCUCUUCAUUUCACUUUGGUUUUGGGUGGGUGUGGCUAUGGGAUCAUGUGCAAGUGCGUGUUCAUGUGCGUGUGAGUGGGUGGGUGAGUGUGCAUUUUUAUUCAAGUGUGCGUGUGGGUUGUGUGCUUGUGUGUGGUAUUCAAUUGAAAUUGUAUGUAGGAGGAGCUCAACUUGGACAUCUACAAGUUCUACAGCCAUGCAAAGAUUUUGAUGCAGAGGUCGAGGAGGAGGAGGAGGCUGAGCCCGAAGAGGCAACUCCACUGGAGUAUUGAUUUAAAGUUUCAUGCCUUGUAGUUUGGUGUUGAAACAAUAUUUGUGGCUUGUAAUAUUUUAUUAUGUAUGUUUUGAACUGGUUUGUAUUAAACAAAGAAAAAAUUCUGGUACUUAGUUAUAAGACUUUUGUUAUC